CUCAAAAAACAAACUGGUUUAAUAUGUAUGCAAAAAACACAACCAGUGUCAGAAAAAAAGAAACAGAUGCAAAACAAAUAAAAGACAUCCGACUGAGUAUACGACCCAACUAGUGCUUAUACACAGAGACAGAUCCAUCUACUCUAAACAAACAUGAUUCCCUCUUCCUAUCACUCUCUCUAUGUGAGCAAACUGAUCAGACGGGCUUCAAACUGUGGCGUCGUUGAGCUGUAAUGUCCUUCUGUAAUAAUACAACACAAAUACAGUCCAUAGAGUCCAUAAAAAAAAUAAAAAAGAAAGAUGUCAUUCAUCCACACAGCCAGGGGGCGCCAGAGGCCUUCAGCUUCAGUCCAAACCCUGAACCUCGUGCUGCUUGUACACCGCCGAGACCAGAUUCCUAGAAAAAAAAAAAAAAAAACAAGCAUUCAUGUGGUUAAAUUAAACUAAUAUGUAAAAUGAAUAUUUUCGUGAAUAAAAAUCGUUAAAUCCUUCAGAUCAACGUAAAGGUCCAACGAGCAAAGCGAAAAGCAUUGCAAAUCUGCACCAAAGCUAAUUUCGAUCCAAUUUAUGACAAAAAUCGGCAUAUAAUCGCAAGCGAAUCAUCAUUCGCAUGCUUUAACGCAAGAUAUGGACAUUAUGAAAACCACAGCUGGGAAUCGUACAAUUAAGUUAAAAUUAUUAACUAAUAAAAAUUAUUUUCGUUAAUAAAAAUAAAGCUAAAAUAAGAUUUUAAUAUUACAUAAAAAAAAACGUAGAACCUAAAUUAAAAAUGGUGAAGUGCAAUAAAAUAAGUUUCUAUUAGUAAAUUUACUAAAUUAAUAGCUAAAUAGGGAAAAUAAAAGAAAAUUAUGAAAGCACAAAAAAACAAACCUGAAAGUAUUUAAAUAUAAUAUAAAUUAGGGGUGGGCAAUAUGGCCAAAAAAUAAAAAAUAAAAAUCACGAUAACACAAAAUGUAAAAUAAAAUACGAAAAUAAAAUAUUAUGUUAACUCAUAAAAAAUUAACAUUAAAAUAAGAUUAAUACUAAUUAAAAUAAAACUAAAAGUUACAUUAAUGUAACAAUUAAAGUGAAAACAAUAUUUUAUUAAUAACAAAAUUAUUUAAAAUAAAAUGAUUCGAAUUAAACUUUAAAAAAUAUAAAUACAUCAUUAGAAAUACUAUAAAAUAAUACUAAAAUAACACUGCUGCACAGUCGAAUUCACAAACAAAUGACUCUUUUGAACCGAUUCUUUUAAUUGACUCGGUCAAAACGACUCAUGAAUCAUGCCGCUUUUAUAAACAUACGAUUCGCUCAUCUUGAUUCAUAUUUGAAUCAGAAUCUUUUAAAGAUUUGCAUCUCAAAACUAAAUUUUAGUAGUAAUGAAAGAAAACUAAUUUUAGUAGUAAUGAAAGCAACGGUAGAAUUGAACCUUCACCAGUAACGGUCUUUGCUUUUGUUUAGUACCUUGACUGAUUUAUUAGGCCGGUUUAGUACACAAGUUUUGCUGCAGGGCAUCAUGGGAAUGAUCAGGGAGGACAGCAGACCUGAAGCAUUCGCUCACACAUCGAGUAGGUCAGAGCAGGAAGGACAGGAAGGCAAGCAGGAAGCAGCCAAUCACAGCUGA
rnacentral:lncRNA from 1 species